GAUGAACGCUGGCGGCGUGCCUAAUACAUGCAAGUCGAGCGAACAGACGAGGAGCUUGCUCCUCUGACGUUAGCGGCGGACGGGUGAGUAACACGUGGAUAACCUACCUAUAAGACUGGGAUAACUUCGGGAAACCGGAGCUAAUACCGGAUAAUAUAUUGAACCGCAUGGUUCAAUGGUGAAAGACGGUUUUGCUGUCACUGAUAGAUGGAUCCGCGCCGCAUUAGCUAGUUGGUAAGGUAACGGCUUACCAAGGCAACGAUGCGUAGCCGACCUGAGAGGGUGAUCGGCCACACUGGAACUGAGACACGGUCCAGACUCCUACGGGAGGCAGCAGUAGGGAAUCUUCCGCAAUGGGCGAAAGCCUGACGGAGCAACGCCGCGUGAGUGAUGAAGGUCUUCGGAUCGUAAAACUCUGUUAUUAGGGAAGAACAAAUGUGUAAGUAACUAUGCACGUCUUGACGGUACCUUAUCAGAAAGCCACGGCUAACUACGUG
rnacentral:rRNA from 1 species